ensembl:lncRNA
UACAGUUGCUUUGCUUCUUUUUAUUCAUUUCUUUAGGUCUCCAAUGUACAGCAGUGUUAUUGGAAGAUGACGAAAAAGGCACAAAUUCACAAUAAAAGAAAAGAAAAAACGGGAGACAAGUUAACAGGGGUGACAGAGAGCAAGAGAGAGACUUUUUAAAACAGUUUGGGGUGGUGGAAUCAUUUGGUUUCAUAUUCUGAUUAUAAAUUGAGGAAUCUAACAACAGAUACAGUAUCUAUGAGAUUCGCUCUGUUCUCUCACAGGUCUGUGGACCUGGUGUCAGCAUGUUUUCAACCACAUCUAAUCGUCUUUUUUUAAUUUUUUUUUUAUCACCGAGACUGACACAUCAGCUAAUUAUGUGGAUCAAUCAACUGACCCAGGCUGCCGUUACAUGUUCCUUUUCCGCGUAGAGAAGCGAGUGUAGUACGACAACACUCGGAACAAAAAUAUAUAUCUAUACACUGUCCUGCCAAUAAAACGUGGUCCCUGUGGGGGAGAAACAACGUGCGAAAGAGCGGAAAUAGCGAACGGGGUGUAAAUGUGUUUUUUUCCCCUCCAAUUACAAACCACACGCAGCUCUUCACUGCUUUGCUGCUACGCCCUAAAGACCUGCAGCAAGAUCAUCUUUAAUAUGUGAGUGUCUCUUUUUAAAUGUUUAUAGCUAUUUCUGAAUGUCUUGCCAGCAUUAAAGUUCAGCAAUCAAAACUCUACAACUCCUCACAAUAAAACCCAACUGGUACAGAGUGGUCUGUGACGGAGUAAGAGGAUGGAGUGUCAGGAGGGCGCGAUGGCGGUCUGGCAGGACAGUCUGAUCUAUAUAUAUAUAUAUGUGUUCAUCUAAAUUACUUUAUUUAGUAUUUACAAAGUCAAUACAUACAGUACAUCCACAAAUCUCCAUGAUUCAGUUGAUGGCCCCCCCGUCACAGACAGUGAGUGAGAUGCUGGAUGGACACACACAGAGGUGAAGGGUCGGACAUCCGGGUCCAGCGUUUUCUUUAAAAGGGGAGGCAACAGAAACGCAGUAACGAGAUUAAAAAAACUUGAUCCCACAUACAGAAAUAAAGGGAUAUGAAAUAAGUCACCCAAGAGGAAGCAGGUAUUAACUUCUAUGCUUAAACGGUUGCCAAUAAUGCCCUGAGCAGUUUAGUGGCCGUUUUUACGCCUUUGGUAUGCCUGGCAAGUCAAAUACAUUUUACAUGAAUUGGCUGAGAGAUGAUCGCACAAUAACGUUAGUAAAAUAUCAUCCUGUAAAAAGUAGUUUAAAUGCUUCUCACCUGUGUGCUAUAAUCACAAUUUAAGAGGCUGUGGAAGACUGGCGUAAAUGCUGCAAUGUACAGAAAAUCCACCACAAUUCGAUGAGCACCUCAGGGUGCUAUCACCAAUAUUUAAAGAUAUUAUAGCAAUCCUGUACACAAUCAUUAUCUGCUGUGCACUGUCAUGAUAAGAGUUUAGACUGAAUUUAGCAGAUUAUUAAUUCUUCUCCUGAUUUCUUUUCCAGACCGAGCUGCUCCAGACCGGACAACAAAUAACAAAUAAACAAAAUAAAAUAUUAGGCCAAUGCAGGCCUUUUAUUACAAGCUGGAAUUGAUACAGUCUUCGUUUGAAAAGCCCUUCGGUGGAACUGCUAUUCAUACUCUUCAACAUUCAAUCAAAAUGUGCGCGUGUGUGUGUGAUCCUCGUUCUGAUGGUUUCGUCAUUAUCCGUUGCUCGCUCUUUAAAGUUCCACGCGUCUAUAAGAUGGUGUGUGGGGAAGGUAAAUAGAGGACGGGUAGUAAGAGUAACUGAGGUCAAAGGAGGCCUAACAGACGUCACUCCACAGCUGUAUCACUUCCUCCCUUCUUCACCAGCCACCAUCAGAUCUUUUCAAAGACACUACUGUACGUCACUCGUGUACACUCAUGCGAAUACCGAAAAAAACACCAAUACACGUAACAGGCUUCAGAUUCAAGUAGGAGAGAAAUCUGCCUCAUCCAAAGGCAAACACAAUAAAGCCAGCAUUUAAUAAUUAGUUCAUCAACACCGAAACCAUCCUUGACCUUCAGCGUGAGCAUUACUGUUUCCCGCAUAGGAGCAAACAGUAGCGUAGGUUACAUUUGUGAUGAUAAAAGGGAACCCAACGUGUCAUGGUAGUUAUUGCUAUUGCUGGAUAAGACCAUUUAUCCACUGGAGGUGACGGAAUGGCUGACGGGGCAACAACUUAUGCAGAUCCCAUAACGUUUUACUUUCAAUGACUAAUGUAUCUAUCUACAGCAAGCGGCAGGAGCUGUGUAUUGAUGAAGGUUGCUAAUGUUUAAAUCACACAGUUUGCAGCUAAAAGGACGUGAAGACCCAUCUAUGGCCGGUCCAAUACGUGUGUCGCUUUGCACUUUUCUAUUGCACUAGCAUGUGUGUGUGUGUGUGUAUAUGUUUAAAUUACUGCACUCCCUACCAGUUGAAGCCGAUGAGCUUGAAAUGAUCUGGAGAGUGAAAAAUGAAAAACAUGGCUGGAAACCAUGAUGAGUUUACAACGCUACAGAACUACACACAGGUACACACACACACACACUCGCACACAGAAACUCGCAAAGCAGCAGAAAAGCCAAUGGAUGCCUCAACAUAUAAAGGAAGAUACUAUCUGGCAGGUCAGGAGUACAGUAGAAACAAAAUAACCCUCUUAGCAGCACAGCCUCAUCCUCACAGCUGUGGUUUAUAGAGUUGCACAUCGGUUUGAACAACGAGAGCAAACACUGCAUAUAGCAGGUCCCACAUGGAGAGUAGGAGGUAUGAUGACAAAUCCAAAAAUAAUAAUGAGAAUCACAGGAUCAUAACUGAACACUGAACAGAUAACGUGUUCUGAAAAAAAUUACAACAAACGUCCACAGACAAAAAUAUUUUUAAAAACCAUGUCCUUAUAUAUUUAUAUUUAUAUAUGUAUAUUUAUAAAUGUAAGUCUAUAUAUAUUUAAAUACAAUUAUUCAGCUCCCCAAUAUAUGGUAUACUGUCUAUAUACACCACUGGGUUAUCUGAGGCAAAUAAAUCCUAAAUUGCAGAGAUAAAUGACAACCUUCUCUGUAGUUUAGACACUGAGAGAGAAAAAGAGAAGACGGACUCAUCUAAAGUGCUACUGGAGGCCUCAGAGCACUUAAUAAGAUGGGGAAACAAUAUGGAUGGGGCUCAAGGGAGACGGGAUGUGGUGGUGGAGAUCAUCUGAAAACUGGGAUUUCACUGGGUCCAGGUCCCUAAAAAACAGAUUGUACCAGGGAUGAGGGUGGGGUGGGGUGGGGUGGGGGGUGGGGAUUUGGACCAGCCGGUCAGACGUUGCGGUAGUAGGUAAUAGACGUAGCAUGUGAAUCCGCUGGUAUCUGGGUAGUCUGGUCU